rnacentral:sRNA from 1 species
AUUUUGCAGCCCGACUUGAGCGGAAAUCCUUUUUUUGUUUUGGGAAAAGCUUUGGCAAAAAAGAUUGGGAGUGGAAGGCGGAAAUAGCU